CCAAUGUGUCCCACUGUGUCCCAACGCGUUCCUAUGGGGCGCUGUGGGUCCAAAUGUGUCCCUAUGGGUCCCAAUGUGUUCCUAUGUGUCCCAAUGGGUCCCUAUGUGUCCCUAUGGGUCCCUAUGGGUCCCAAUGUGUCCCUAUGGAUUCCUAUGGGGCGCUGUGGGUCCCUAUGGGUCCGAACGUGUUCCUAUGGGUCCGAAUGUGUCCCUAUGUGUCCCUAUGGGUCCCUAUGGGUCCCAACAGAUUCCUAUGGGGCGCUGUGGAUUCCUAUGGGGCGCUGUGGGUCCCAACGUGUCCCACUGUGUCCCUUAUGGGUCCCCAUCCGUCCCAAUGCGUCCCACUGCGUCCCAACGCGUUCCUAUGGGGCGCUGUGGGUCCCUAUGGGUCCCAAUGGGUCC
ensembl:lncRNA